rnacentral:rRNA from 1 species
CCCUUAGAUGUUCUGGGCCGCACGCGCGCUACACUGAUGCAUUCAACGAGUCUAAAACCUGGUCUGAUAGGGCUGGGUAAUCUUUUGAAUGUGCAUCGUGAUUGGGAUAGAUGAUUGCAAUUCUUCAUCUUCAACGAGGAAUGCCUAGUAAACGCAAGUCAUCAGCUUGCAUUGAUUACGUCCCUGCCCUUUGUAUACACCGCCCGUCGCUCCUACCGAUUGAAUGUUCCGAUGAAUACCAUGGACUGAGAGUAUGAAUGGGUUCGCCUAUUUCUGCUUCUCGGGAAGUGGAGUAAAUCUUAACAUUUAGAGGAAGGAGAAGUCGUAACA